rnacentral:tRNA from 1 species
UUUUAAUAGCUUAUUAUAAAGUAUAAUAUUGAAGAUAUUAUGAAGAUAUUUUUAUCUUAAAAUAU